rnacentral:rRNA from 1 species
GAAACACGGACCAAGGAGUCUAGCAUGUGCGCGAGUCAUUGGGAAUAACUAAACCUAAAGGCGCAAUGAAAGUGAAGGUACGCCUUGCGCGGACCGAGGGAAGAUGGGCGGUCACGGAGACGUGCCGCUCCGCACUCCCGGGGCGUCUCGUUCUCAUUGCGAGAAGAGGCGCACCAAGAGCGUACACGCUGGGACCCGAAAGAUGGUGAACUAUGCCUGGUCAGGACGAAGUCAGGGGAAACCCUGAUGGAGGUCCGUAGCGAUUCUGACGUGCAAAUCGAUCGUCGGAACUGGGUAUAGGGGCGAAAGACUAAUCGAACCAUCUAGUAGCUGGUUCCCUCCGAAGUUUCCCUCAGGAUAGCUGGCGCUCGUCGCCUACGAGUCUCAUCCGGUAAAGCGAAUGAUUAGAGGCAUUGGGGUCGAAACGGCCUCAACCUAUUCUCAAACUUUAAAUGGGUGAGAUCUCCGGCUUGCUCGAACUUAUGAAGCCGCGAGACACGGAUCAGAGUGCCAAGUGGGCCAUUUUUGGUAAGCAGAACUGGCGCUGUGGGAUGAACCAAACGCCGAGUUAAAGCGCCUAAAUCGACGCUUAUGGGAUACCAUGAAAGGCGUUGGUAACUUAAGACAGCAGGACGGUGGCCAUGGAAGUCGGAAUCCG